UACAGGGGGUGCAAACGUUGCUCGGAAUCAUUGGCGUAAGGACGCGUAGCGGUUCGAUAAGUCCCGUGUGAAAUCCCUCGGCUCAACUGAGGAAUUGCACGGGAAACUGACGGGCUUGAGUUCGGGAGAGGGAAGCGGAAUUCCGGGUGUAGCGGUGAAAUGCGUAGAUAUCCGGAGGAACACCGGUGGCGAAGGCGGCUUCCUGGACCGACACUGACGCUGAGGCGCGAAAGCUAGGGGAGCAAACGGG
rnacentral:rRNA from 1 species